rnacentral:rRNA from 1 species
UACGUAGGGUGCAAGCGUUGUUCGGAAUUACUGGGCGUAAAGGGCGCGUAGGCGGCCUUCUAAGUCAGACGUGAAAUCCCCCGGCUUAACCGGGGAACUGCAUCUGAUACUGGAUGGCUUGAGUUCGGGAGAGGGAUGCGGAAUUCCAGGUGUAGCGGUGAAAUGCGUAGAUAUCUGGAGGAACACCGGUGGCGAAGGCGGCAUCCUGGACCGACACUGACGCUGAGGAGCGAAAGCCAGGGGAGCAAACGGG